rnacentral:pre_miRNA from 1 species
AAAAAGACAAACCCUGGUUUCCGUAUCCAACGUUUGACCAUCCGUUUUAUUUAAAAAAAUUAAAAAGAUAAGUCACGCAUAAAAUAUUAAUCAUGUUUUAUCAUAUAACAGCAAUAAAAAUACUAAUUAUAAAAAAAAUCAUAUAAGACGGACAGUCAAACGUUGGCACGGAAACUCAGGGUUUGCUUUUUU